AGAAAUGCAAGGGUGAAAAGCCCCUUGGAUCUUCUGCUCCUUGGUAUGCAAAAAUACACCAAGUGCACAGCUGAAUGUUUCCACAUAGAAUAUUAAUGAUUCCACGGGACAAAAACAUUAGCACUGGUUCAACUUUAGCCUUGUAGGUUCUGUUUUAAUGCUAAGACCCACAAGCCAGGAACUGGUGCCUCAGCAGAAACAUAAAAGAAAUCUCACCCCCGGCAGUUCUUUUGAGUUCCAAAACUAAACAGAGCUCACUGUUUUCCUGUACUAAAUCCUCUUCAACUCUCCCCCCCUCAUUUUGGCAGUAUAAUUACGGCAGGAAAGGAGUCAUUAUCAGGUUGUUACUUUUAAACAACUGGGAGUCAGAAAUCUUUGCAAAUCAAUGAGACAUCUCAAAGUCAUGUGGCGCAGGCUGGUUAACAGCCAGCUGCAAUAAAUCAAGGCCAGCCCGUGUUGGGGUGAGCACCCGACAAUUAAAAUAAAAAAUAGCCCCUGCUCGUUGUUGACCUAAGCAACGCGAAAGAUAGUUGCAUUUAUCAAGUAGGAAAUUUAGGUACCACUUAUAUGUGGGGAGGCUAAUUUACGACACCAUAAAAAUCAUCCAGCCGCCGUUGGAAUGAGGAAGUUGCCGUCACAGUGGAUGAUGAAACAGCUGCUCACCCUGUGGCCGGAAUCAAGCAUACCCUCAGAAAACUGGAAGCUGGAGAAGCUUUAAAUUGCCUCUUCAUCUGUCUCUGUCUCUGUUCUAUGUUAUAUGGCAUUGAAUGUUUGCCUUAUAUGUGUACAAUGUGAUCCACCCUGAGUCCCCUUUGGGGUGAGAAGGGUGGAAUAUAAAUACUGUAAAUAAAUAAUAAAUAUAUCCAGCUUCCCUUUCUGCCCACCAUUUAACAUGUUUUCCCUUUCAAGUUUUAAGAAUAGAGCUUAGGAUGCAAAGAUCAAACCUACAUUCCUACUAUUAUUCUAUAUUACAUGAGCCUGGAAGGGUUGCUAUUGAAACAUGUGAUACAUUACAGGUCCCCACAAACUGUUCCCGAUGGAAGUGACCCAAAAUGAAGUAGUAUGUGGAAAAAGAGUUUAUGAACUGUUGCUAAUAUUAUAGGAAGGAGAGUUCAAGAGCAAACAUGCAUUCGAAAUCACAUGGGGAAGAAAGAAAGUUACCUAUGAAGAUUUACCUAUAAGCAAAGAAUUCCUUGCAAGGAAAAAAAAACCCCUGAUAUUGGAGACCUUGCUCCCAUAGAAAGGGGUUAUUGAUUGGAUUGUUGCUUCUCUCUAGUACAGUCUGUCUGGUGGCAAUAAUGCAGUGCCAGUGGACAAGGUAAUAUGUGCAGCCAAAAAGUGACUGCUUGGUCUAGAUUUGACCUGUUGUUUGACUGUACAAAGUGAAGUUUCCUGGCUCAAUUCUUUUGGCGGUCCAGUUGUUCCCCUCAGGAGAUUCAUAUCUUGCUUGCUUUUGGAUCCUUUGACCAAAGAUGCUGCAAACUGCACUGUGCCUAAAUUGAAUGAUUCCAGCUCUUCCUUGUAGCUACAUGACAUUUAGUUUCCCCUUCACUGUAUUUCAGUUCCCAAUAGCCUCCCGUGUAUCAAUAUGCAUGUAAUGUGGAGAUGGGCUGAGAUUUGUAUCAAGACCCCCUGAGAUCAGAAAGGCCAUGCCACAGUGGCACAUGCAUGCAACUGUCACACAUGAAAAUUAUGCAAGGAGUAUGUAUCAUGGAACUCCUGUGAUAUUUUAAUAACAUGAAUACAUUUCUAAGACCCCAACCCAUGUCAAGAUUCACUGUUCACAUGAACCAUAAAGUUGCUGUUCUUAGUAUGAGCGCUGUAAAGCUGAGAAUGAGAUCUUCUCCUAAGUAAAGUCUUCCUAGAUUUAUUUUGGAGACUUCACGAGAUAUGCUUAGGAGCAGGUUCCUACACCAUUAUCACUGCCUAACAUCUCUUUCCCCUAAUUGUACUCUACUAGUUACUCUUUUCUGAGACAAAUAAUAAAUAAUAAUAAACUUCAUUUAUAUCCCAUCACCAUCUCACCAAAGGGACUCGGGGCGGCUUACAAAGGCACUCCAGGGUGCAGCAUAUACAUAAAACAGUACAUGAGUAUAAAACAAUAUCACAUAAAAUGUUAACAAACCACUAUCAACACAUAUAGCAUAAAAUAAAAUAGCACCAUUUUAAAAACGUAGAACAUCUGUAGAUAAAACUAGCUGCCAUCAAUUCACUACUAAAGUGCUAGAGUGUAAACCUCAUAUGGACACAUUUCAACCUACUCAAGGUCAAAAGUUUGUUUAAAAAUCCAUGUUUUUAGGCUGGAUUGGAAAGAUUGAAGGGUAGCGGCUAAUCUAAUCUCUUUUGGGAGAGUAUUCCAGAGCCGGGGAGCCACCACAGAGAAGACCCUUUCUCUCGUCCCCACCAACCAAGCUUGAGACAGUGGUGGGACCAAGAGAAAGGCCUCCACAGCUGAUCUCAAAGCCUGCACCGGUUCAUAGAAAGAGAUGAGGUCUCGAAGAAAGUUCCAAUGUUAUAACAUCACGUCCCCUGGACAGGGAUGGUCCAAAACAUUGUUUAAGAUGAAAAAUGGCAUUUCCUGUUCCAUGCAGAGAUGACUCUUGCUUUGACAUUGAGAAGCCAAACACACAACCUAAUUGAGAAGUCAGUCAUUCAACCUGAGGACAGCAGAAUAGCCAACAAAGUACAGAGCAUAUUAUUUGGUUCACAAAACUCUGUUCUCCCACAUCUUCCUUCUCCUACCCCACCAACAGACACGUCAUUCUCUCUAAUCAUAGGGCUGUACUAAAUGCACCAAAUGAUACUUGUACCGAUGUAACAGAGUUGGGGAGGAGGUGGUGGGCUAUUGUUUUUGUAGGUGGUUGAACAGUGAUUGCAAUGAUAUGUUAUUGCUACAUAGAUCUCGCCUAGAGAUGCCUUAAAUUGCUUACCUGUGACUGGAUUGUAGCCAGAGUAAGUAGAGAGCAACAGAACAGAUACAGUACUUGAGAUAGAGACUGGAGACACCUGUCUUCAGACAUUUAAAUACAUGUUUAGACUACAAAUUACAAGUGCAACUAAUCUUUGCUGACUCACAAAAGAACUAACAUGCAAGAUAAUAAUAGGGGGUGGAGCUGGCACACUUUAGAUGGGUUUCAAUGCAGGUCCCAUCACACUCAGAAUAUAAAUAACAUUUAUGGAGAAGGCUGAGUCAACAGAUUAUUAUCACUCAUUUAUAAUCAUGAACUAGAUGACAUCUCCACUGGUAUAGACUGAGCACAGUAACACAAAUAGAGUUGUCUGUCCUUAGGGUCAAAGUGGUAUAGUGGUUUAAGUGUUGACUAUUACUUUGGAGACCAUGGUUUGAUUCCCUGCUUGGCCAUGGAAACCUACUGAAUGGUGCUGGAUGAAUUUUCUCAGCCCUGGAAUAUCCUGUGAUAAGUUUUUACCCCUGGGUUGCCAUAGGUUGGAAAUGACUUGAAGACAUACAACAACGGCUUGGCAAUGCAUUGAACAUAGGUAGACAAGUCAGAUAUGUUGCCCAAAAAGUCAAUGUGUGGCAAGUGGAUAGAGAUAAAGAGAUGAGAAACCUAUAUUCAUCCUGUUCAAUCAUGUCCUUGAUCUAUUAUUGAUACUUGGGCUAGUUGAUUGUCUGUCUGCCUUUUCCUCCAGUCUGGGACUCAAGGUGAAUUACAACAGUUAAAAUAAACACUAUUUGAAAAUCUAUGGUAGUUGCAGGUGUCACAAUAUGACUAGGGAACCACCCCUAAUGGUUGAAAGCUUUGGAACCAAAUUGCAUGUAUUGCCCUGAGAAAGAAAUAAAAAGAGCUGGGAUCAAGCAAAGGCAUAAAUGGGAAGUGAUGAAUUGUUCUUUCUAAUAGGAUUAGGAAGGUGAUGGGAGAGGUGCUGGGUCAUUCUGAUUUUCCACUCCACUGUCACUAUGGUUCAUGAUUCUGAGGAAGGUUGCCCAGGGGUCAUUCACAAUACGUUUGGCAGGAUGUGCAGAAAAUAGUUUGGCAGCCAGAAAGCUGGGCAUUUGCUCUAAAUCUGGGUCUGGUUCCCAAGAGCAGCAAGGACCCCAACACGUCUUGGUAGGAGAGAGGCAAAAGGCUGAGGCUUUCCUAGAUAUUGUUUAAACAAAAGACUUCGGCAACUGAUUGAAGAAGCUUUUAAUGCCUGGGUGCUGUACCUCACACUGCAAAUAGCCCAUUAUAGACAACACAUAGUAAAAUGAUGUCUCUUAUAUAAAAUGGCAAAUUCAAAAUGUGCUUUUGGGAAAUUUUUAAAUAUUUUGGAGUCAUGGAUUAUGAGUGUAGAAUCAUAUAUAUGGACAACCAACUGCCAAUUAUUGAUGUCCCUUCUAUUUUUCAUUUGAUGUUGUUUUUAUUUUGCUUUAAUGUUGUUGUUGUUUGUCUUUUUGUCCAUGCAUUUUUCCUAAUUAAUUAUAUUGGGGGACACUUUUGAGUCUCACCUUUUAAGAAAGGGAUUGUGAAGUCUUGGCUCUGCUUUUUCCUCUCCUUUGCUUUAGGUCUCCCUGUUUAUAGGUUUUCCCAAUAGUGUAGAUAGAUACCUUCCUUUGUAUUAGUUUUGGGUGGAGCAUACCCCCCCCCAGAGACCAGCCUUAGUUGAUCCAUUCCAUUUGCCUGUACAGAGCUCUCUUGCUAUACUCUUCCUUUUUCCGCAAUAGAACUACAGAGAUGAGAGACUUGGGCAUUGUCUGGUAAUCCUAGGCCCAAGCAAUCCAAAACAGGCAUCCUUAGCACCUCCAUUCAACCAGUAUUCAUAUACCACUAGUCCCAGAGACAACAGAAGCUUUUGACCAGCUUAAGCUUCACAAGAAAGAAGAUUGAGAAAACUUGUAAGCACCAGCUUGUAAACCAUCACUUUGCAUCAGAGGCAGAAGACUUUCAAUGACUCCAGAGAGAUGACUGCAACCAGCAAAAUCUCAUUUUGUAAUGUAUUGUUUUAAGCUAUCUUAUAAUAGUCCUGGGUGGAGUUAACCCUUUAUUCAUCUUGUUUUUGAUAUGUUUUGAUAAUCAUUUUGAUUAUGUUUUCACCUUGCCUAAAGUGCCUCUGUAUGUUAAGGGUCUUUAUCUUAACAGAAGGUAUACAGAUAGCCCCCGAGUAGACACUAUAGUUUUUCCCAUACGCUCGGGCAUGCCAUCACAGGGAUCAAAUAAAAACAUUUUGAUUGCCAUUUUCUCCAUAUCAGAAAGUACUAUCCUAUACAUUCAGAAGUAAGUCCUAUAAUGUUAAAUGAGAUUUACUCCAAAGAUAUUAUAAAUUGGCAUCCUUACGUUCUACUGAAUUCAGUUAAUAUCCAUAACACUAAUCUGGACUUCAUCGUCUCUUGUGCUAACUUACCACCAUACACAAGAAUGUUCUGGGUUUGGUACUAUUUUUUAUGCAGACAUUCAAAAUAUACCCCUUUCCAUGGGAAUUUGAAGAAAUACAGUCAAAGCAGUUCUAUCAUCUUGCUGCUUCAACUGCAGACUGACUCAAAUCCCCUGAAAGGAGAACUAGAGCUUCUGUUCUCAGAGUUUUACAUCCUGCCUCUUAAUAGCAGAGUUGGGUUUGGAGGCUGCCAAUUAUUUAAUCACAGUGUGACUCAAAUGAGUAAUCUCAUAAACAUCAUUGUCGAUGGGAUAACUCUUCUGUCAGCAGUAAAGUAUAUACUUUGGUGCUAAGAGCUAAAUAAUCCCAUGUCCUGCAAACCACUUCCCAUGAAGUUACCGUACAGAAUGCCAGAUCUGCCUCACCUUCCCACCAUAGUUUGCUUUCCUUGAUUUCGAUGAGUGGUUGAUACAGAUGGUUUUAGUGCAACACAAAAGGGAAAUAGGCAAAGGAAAUAACUCUACUGCUUCUUUUGUAGACCCCAAUCCGUACCACUAUUUUGGCAAGAACCAAGAUAUGUUAUGGAUUGAUGAUGAUCAAUGGAAAUUCUUAUGUGUGCCCGUGAUCCAGAGUCACCCACAAAACAGUAACAUGCCCCUGAGGUUUACAGAACAAAAAUACAAAAAAUACAAAAGAUCAAAGAACAGUAGUAUUUACAAUGGUCUCUCUGAUCACUGAUAGAAGUCCAGCCAUAAAUAGUCCUUUCUCAGUCCACAAAUCUGCUUCAGAGGAGAAUACAGUCCUGGUUCUUCACCCUCUUUCCUCAGCAGCAAACAGGCCUCAAAAUAGAAAGGCCUUUCUGAGUACACCGCUCUCUUUACCAGCAGUACUCAGUCAGCACUGAAAACUUGUCCAAACUGGUUCUGCAGCAGCAGAACAGAAACAGUAUCAAAUCAAUCCCCAGGUCAUUGCAGGCUCAGCCAAUCAGCUUCAUACACUUCAUUUUCCAGUUAACACACACAGUACAGUGCCUUUGCAAACCAUGACAAGAUAGACUGCUUGAUUUUCUCACUUAGUAGUUAGUGCAUGACUAGGAACACCAGGCUAGUCUUUGGACUAGCGAAGUAGUUUUUCCAUUGAGAGAAGGAGGAAGAUUGCUCUGCACAUUGCAUAGCUAGACCCUUCCCAUCAUAGAAUUAUCCCCAUCUGCUCCCAGGACAAGCAUAAUAUCAGCAAGAGCCAAAUGCCUCAUGUGUUUGCACUGCACAUGCUAAGACCUAUGACUACAUCUAGAUAUGACUACAUCUAAUCCCAGACUAUCUAGGGAGAAACAUGCCUGCUUUUCCACUCCCUCAACUUUAGGAUUUGCAAAUAAGGCUAGAUUAAGGGCACUAAAACAGUUCCAAAAAGAGAUCCUCUUUUGAAUCAUAGAAUUUUAAAAAUUGGAAGGACACACAAGAGUCAUCUUGUCUGACUGUGUUGAUUAGGAAAACACAACUACAGCACUUCUGAAAGAUGCCCCUCCAAACUCUAUUUAGAGAUCUCCAAACAGUCUCUGCCACUUUCAAACAGUUCCUAUAGUCAAGAUGCUCUUCCUAAUAUUUAGAUGGAAUGUGUUUCCUUGUAUCUUCUAUCUUGAAUCUGUUGGAUCAUGAUCUAUAUUCUGGAAUAACAGAAAAUAUGCUCACUCAAUCCUCAAGUGUUUUACUGUUUUAAUUGGGCAUGAUAUUGGUUUUAUGAUUGUUGGUUUUUACUAUAUUUUGUAUUAUAUGUGGCAGUAAUCUUGCCAUUAUGUAAGUCCGCUCUGGGUCCCCUUGGGGGAGAAGAGCGGUAUAUAAAAUAAAUAAAUAAAUAAGCUUUUGUGGAAAAUGUCUGCAUAGUAAAUGAAUAAAUCAUAAAGUAUUUUAGACAAUAGCAGGAAAAAUAUUCUUGAUGUGUGAAUCUGCUUUCAUCUGUGCAGCUUCAAUGAGGCAAAUAAUCAGAUCCCAUACAUUGUAUUACAUUUCUCAAGUCCCACAAACACAUGAAACUGACAGAAGAGUUAGGAAGUGCUUGUGUGAUUUCAGAUACAAUAGAAGUUUUGGGGGAAGUUCUCAAACAAGUGACCUUCUCUCCUUACCUUUAGAAACUUGGAACAAAUAUUUUGGUGCAGUGUAAUUUUGCUGACAUUAUUACUGUUUUGUAGCAUAUGGUUGUAAUUUGGAACUCAUCAUAAGGGCUGAAAUGUAAAAGGUGGCUGACAUGCUCAGUCUGAUCCUGAAUGCCAAGACGUUUUCAGCCGCCCUGCAUAUAAAGUUGGUAUAAUUGUGGGGAGGAAGGGAACAUUUUACCCCAUCAAACAAACUGUUUAUGUUCUUGAACAAUAAGAAGAAGUCAUGCCAAUCCUACUCAAAGGCUGUGGGGAUGCUUUGCACAACUGCUAAGGCAGUGUUCCUCCCGAAUCCUUGUAACCCAGACCCAAAGACACAAACAGAUGGAAAGAUACACGGGAAUGUUAGCAAGGAAGAAGAGAGGGAAGGUUUCAGUCAUAACAAAACAAGGCAGUUGGUUUCCAGGAAUAAGUAGGUCUAUGUGUUAUUCUAACAGUUCAAAUAACGCCUACGUUUAAAAAAAACACAGUGAGUGGGAGCUUUCUCUGUAGUUCAGUUUCCACUUCCCAAACUACAACACAAGCAAUAACAUACACAAUAAUCUUCAGUUUAGUGGCUGAUGGGUUGUUUCCUCUCACAGAGAUUGAGAACCCUUUCACACUAUGCAGUUAGAGUGUUAUGAUUCCACUCUAAUUACUAUGGCAAUGGCCUAUGUACUCAUUCUGUAGUACUGUGAGCAAUUCAAAGGUUGACUAGACCCAGCAGCUUGGUGCUACUUGGAAUAUUGCUACUACAUCCAGGUAAGCUGGAUGGAGUCACGGAAAGAGGUUCAAAACUGGAGCCAACUCUGCUCAGAUCUCAAUUAUAGAGACAAGGCCAAAGCCAGGUGGGCUGUGGGGCUGCAUAGAAUCAUAGAAUAAUAGAGUUGGAAGAGACCAUAUGGGCCAUCUAGUCCAACCCCUUGCCAUGAAGGAAAAGCCCAAUCAAAGUAACCCUGAUAGAUGGCAUGCAUCCCCCUCUGACCAUCUCUAUGCCCAACUCUCCCAGGCUUCCUAAACUACCCUUUCUUCUGAUAAAGCUAAAGGUACAUUGGAUUCUUCUGGAGGCCUCUAGCAAUAACAAGCAAUUCAUCUCUUUGAAGAUAAGAUUCAGAACACUCUGCAUUGUUUAACUUUCUUUCCUUUUUCAAACAGAAAUCAUCUCUUGGAUGAUCCUAGGAAAAGACUACUGUUCUGGGGUCCCAUCUACACUGCCAUAUAAAAUCCAGAUUAUGUCAAACAGAAAUCAUCUCCUGGAAGAUCCUAGGAAAAGACUACCGUUCUAGGGCUCCAUCUACACUGCCAUAUAAAAUCCAGAUUAUCUGGUUGGGUCAUCUGGAUUAUCUGGAGGCCCCAGAUGGCGUAGUGGACUAAGUGACUUGAAGGUUGGGUUGCUGACCUGAAAGCUGCCAGGUUCAAAUCCCACCCAGGGAGAGUGCAGAUGAGCUCCCUCUAUCAGCUCCAGCUCCAUGCGGGGACAUGAGAGAAGCCUCCCACAAGGAUGGUAAAAACAUCAAAACAUCCGGGCGUCCCCUGGGCAACGUCCUUUCAGACAGCCAAUUCUCUCACUCCAGAAGCGACUCAAGUUGCUCCUGACACGGAAAAAAAAAAUCUGGAUUAUAUGGCAGUGUAGAUCCAGCCUAAGUCCUACUGAAUUCACCUGCCCUUGAGAAUACACAAUGGAGAGCAAGCAGUAGUUAGUUGUGAAUAUGUGCCUUCAGGUUGCAUGUUAACUGAGAUCAACUCCAUGAAAAGGGUUUUUCUAAGGUAAAGAUUACUCAGGACCUUAUCCCAUGGGAAGGGGAAAGCGGGAGGAAAUUGUUUUCUUUACCAUAGCAUUUUGUUCUGUUCUGUUUAUAAGGAAAACAGAUAAUAUAUUCACCCCAUUACAUGUGAUGUACUUUUGUCUGUUUCUAGCGUAAUCCUCUCUGUUCUGAGCUAUCACAGGGCCGGAUGUAGUCCUCACCCUUACUGAUACAGCACUACAACAAAAAUAUAGUAACAGCAAACUGUAAUAUAUAUUGAAAAAUACACAAUUCCCUAGGAAUAAUUUUUUUUUAAAAAAAUUACCUUAAAAGUUUCAUGCAUGAGAAUUCAUGAUGAGAAAAGGAACACUGAGGCACAUUUUGCAACUGCCCACAAAAACGCUCCCCACAUCUUGACGUCACUACAAUGAUCUAAUACAGAAUCUGACAAUUUCCAUCCCACAUUAAAAUAAGUGCCUUUAAAGUAGCUGUCAUUUAGUGAAAUUGGUAUGUUUUGAAAUAAAUGUAUAAUUUUGGGGAGAACAUUAUUGACAUUAUGCAGCCCAUUCGUAAUAAUACUUGUUUUGACCACCUGGUCAGAUCAGGCCUUAUAGUGGCUCAAAUACUCUCAUAGAUAUUGUUCACCAGGUCAGGCUUAGUUGUAUCCCUAAAUAUUUUACUUUCUUUGCACAAUUAAUGUUUGCCAAUUUCUUGAUUUUCAUUUGAUCUUUUAACUUUGUAUUUUAGUCAAAAUUCUUAUUUAUCAUGAGGCCAGCAUCUCUUCCAAAUUCUUCGACUAUUUUUAUUAUUUUAGGUACAGAUCCAAGAAGUUUUUCCAUCAUGAGGACUGCAUCACAAAAACUGGUGACAAAUUGGAGAUUACCUGCUUUGAGAUGUGGAAUUAAGUCCAUUGUUAGCCUCAACUGGAAAGCUUUUGAGGUGAUUUAUUAUCAGAUCUGUCAAAAUCAGGAUUUGAUUGGUUAUGAAGGAACUAGUAUGAGUCACCCAAGGAAAAGUCAUUGAAAUAUGGAACCAAAUGGGAAUGUCAGAUAUAUCGACAAUGUUAGAAGUGGUAGGAAUCCUAUUUCCUCAAGAAACAGGUCUGACAAAGCGAGAGGAUUUGUGUGAUAUUCGGAGAGGUAACAAGACCCACAGUAAGGACAGAGAACGCAAGGCAGAUAAGGAGUGUCACGCUUGGCUUUCUUUUGGGACACAGCAGCCAAUGCGUUUCACCAUCCACCAGACCCUCCUUGCCCCUGAAUCUAUUUUUAGGCUGUGCAAUAAAAUUAACACUUUGUUUAAGCACUCAAUGACUUCCUUCCUAAAUGCCUGCCCUUUAAAAGGCCAACUGUGACUCUCCCAGGGAUUCAGGGAAUUGCUAUAAAUUUUUACACCCCUUUCAGCAGUUCGCACAUUGCUGUUCCAAGUUUUAUUAUUUUCGUUAUUAUCAAAACUAUUUUCAGAUGAUGACUGUGUCCUUAUGUCCGAGACAGAGAGAAAGAAUGUUGUGGUUCCUUAAAGAUAAAUAUGUUUUGUUUAGCAUAACUAUGGAAAUAGGUUACAAUCCACAAAAGCUCAUCCCAGAUAAAAUGUUACCCUGCAAGAUGCUACAACCCUUGUAGAUGUUGCUAUUUUUUAACCUCAUACUUAUCCUCAAAGGGUGCCCAAGAAUAACUUAGAAGAGAAAAAAAAAGUUGUACUGGAUUUUAUGCAUUCAUUACAAAUACUGUAUUGUCCCAUUGUAACAUCAAUAAAGCCUGUAGAAAACUAAUAAUCAAUUUAUAGUAGUAGAAGAAGACGUACAUUAGGGGACAGAAAAAAGGGCCUCACUUAAAGAUCUCAAAACAUGGCAGGUUCAUGAGGGAAUAUUUAUGUUUGUGUCUAUGUGCCUUCAAUUUGCCUGUGGAUUUACAUCAAUUCUAUGAAUGUCAUACAGCAAGGGUGUCAAACCCAUUUUCAUUGAGAGCCACAUCAGUCUUAUAGUUGCAAAGGGCUGAUGAAUCCAUAAUCCGUGGAUAGAGAGGGCCACAUAGUGCUUAGUGCUCUUUAGUCUUUACACAAUUUGCAUCCCCAGAUGUUAUGAACGGCAACUCACAUUACUUUUGAUUAUUCGCCAUGUGGACUGCGGAUGAUGGUGAAAGGACCAUAAACCAGAAAAUAGUAGACUUUUGCAUAUAUAGCUUUGCUUCUGCAUAUAUCAUAUUAUAGACAAUGUGUGUAACAAAGCCAGGGUAGUGUGUGUAACUAGCUCUUUGAGCUGGUACCUUUCUCUAGAAAGUUCCAAGGACAGAAGCUAGUUCGGAGUAAAUAAGUGAGAUCACAAACACCACUUUGUGCCAAAGAGGUGUGGAGGUGAAGACACCCUCAGUAAUUAGUCAAGUUUAGAUAAACCAAGAUAUAUAUUCUUUGUUUACUGCGCCACGCUUCGCAGAAGCCAUUUGCAAGUACAGACGUUUGGUGUGUGUAUGGCUGUUUUGCCUUUCUCAUAGCUAUGAUGAAAAUAAACUUUGCUUUUGUACUCUCA